UACGUAGGGUGCAAGCGUUGUCCGGAAUUAUUGGGCGUAAAGAGCUCGUAGGCGGUCUGUCGCGUCUGCUGUGAAAACCUAGGGCUUAACUCUGGGCGUGCAGUGGGUACGGGCAGGCUAGAGUGCGGGAGAGGAGAGUGGAAUUCCUGGUGUAGCGGUGGAAUGCGCAGAUAUCAGGAAGAACACCCGUGGCGAAGGCGGCUCUCUGGAACGCAACUGACGCUGAGACGCGAAAGCGUGGGGAGCAAACAGG
rnacentral:rRNA from 1 species